rnacentral:rRNA from 1 species
UACGGAGGGGGCUAGCGUUGUUCGGAAUUACUGGGCGUAAAGCGCACGUAGGCGGCUUUGUAAGUUAGAGGUGAAAGCCCCGGGCUCAACUCCGGAAUUGCCUUUAAGACUGCAUCGCUAGAAUUGUGGAGAGGUAAGUGGAAUUCCGAGUGUAGAGGUGAAAUUCGUAGAUAUUCGGAAGAACACCAGUGGCGAAGGCGACUUACUGGACACAUAUUGACGCUGAGGUGCGAAAGCGUGGGGAGCAAACAGG